CCUACGGGCGGCUGCAGUGGGGAAUAUUGGACAAUGGGGGCAACCCUGAUCCAGCCAUGCCGCGGGUGUGAAGAAGGCCCUCGGGGUGUAAAGCACUUUCAGUGAGGAAGAACGCCUGGUGGUUAAUACCCAUCAGGAAAGACAUCACUCACAGAAGAAGCACCGGCGAACUCCGUGCCAGCAGCCGCGGUAAUACGGAGGGUGCGAGCGUUAAUCGGAAUUACUGGGCGUAAAGCGCGCGUAGGUGGCUUGAUAAGCCGGUUGUGAAAGCCCCGGGCUCAACCUGGGAACGGCAUCCGGAACUGUCAAGCUAGAGUGCAGGAGAGGAAGGUAGAAUUCCCGGUGUAGCGGUGAAAUGCGUAGAGAUCGGGAGGAAUACCAGUGGCGAAGGCGGCCUUCUGGACUGACACUGACACUGAGGUGCGAAAGCGUGGGUAGCAAACAGGAUUAGAUACCCUGGUAGUC
rnacentral:rRNA from 1 species